AGUGAACGCUGGCGGUAGGCCUAACACAUGCAAGUCGAACGGCAGCACAGUAAGAGCUUGCUCUUACGGGUGGCGAGUGGCGGACGGGUGAGGAAUACAUCGGAAUCUACUUUUUCGUGGGGGAUAACGUAGGGAAACUUACGCUAAUACCGCAUACGACCUACGGGUGAAAGCAGGGGAUCUUCGGACCUUGCGCGAUUGAAUGAGCCGAUGUCGGAUUAGCUAGUUGGCGGGGUAAAGGCCCACCAAGGCGACGAUCCGUAGCUGGUCUGAGAGGAUGAUCAGCCACACGGGAACUGGGACACGGUCAAGACUCCUAAGGGAGGCAGCAGUGGGGAAUAUUGGACAAUGGGCGCAAGCCUGAUCCAGCCAUACCGCGUGGGUGAAGAAGGCCUUCGGGUUGUAAAGCCCUUUUGUUGGGAAAGAAAAGCAGCAGGUUAAUACCCCGCUGUUCUGACGGUACCCAAAGAAUAAGCACCGGCUAACUUCGUG
rnacentral:rRNA from 1 species